rnacentral:rRNA from 1 species
GUGGGGAAUCUUAGACAAUGGGCGCAAGCCUGAUCUAGCCAUGCUGCGUGAGCGAUGAAGGCCUUAGGGUUGUAAAGCUCUUUCAGCUGGGAAGAUAAUGACGGUACCAGCAGAAGAAGCCCCGGCUAACUCCGUGCCAGCAGCCGCGGUAAUACGGAGGGGGCUAGCGUUGUUCGGAAUUACUGGGCGUAAAGCGCACGUAGGCGGAUCAGAAAGUCAGAGGUGAAAUCCCAGGGCUCAACCUUGGAACUGCCUUUGAAACUCCUGAUCUUGAGGUCGAGAGAGGUGAGUGGAAUUCCGAGUGUAGAGGUGAAAUUCGUAGAUAUUCGGAGGAACACCAGUGGCGAAGGCGGCUCACUGGCUCGAUACUGACGCUGAGGUGCGAAAGCGUGGGGAGCAAACAGGAUUAGAAACCCUGGUAGUCC